CCGUCGACGGCUCGGUCGGCGAGUGCUUUCGCUCGAUUUCGGGGGCGGAUCAGACGGCCGCGAGCGAAUCCGGGGAUCUCCCCCCUCCCUCCCGCUCUGUUCCUGCCUCUGCUCCCCGCCCGUUUCCUCUCAAUCCUUCCUUCUCCCUGCUUCUCUCCCUCGCGGAAAAAAAAAAGAAAAGAAAAGGAAAAGAUCUCCUCUUCGUCCUGUUUCUGUUGGCGUCGCUGCUCGGCAGCUCGUUCGCUAGCUACCACCCAAAAGGCGGCAGUCGAUCGCCUGAUAGCUCAGCCGCUCUCCUCUGUCGCUUCCGAGCUCUUGUGCCGCCGCGCGCCGGCGAGGAUCUGUCGACCGAGAGAGGAGCCACCCGCCGUCCAAGAAGAGGAGGAAGAAGAUCAUCUUUGCGUCAGAAGGAGCAGUGACGAGAUACCACUGUCCGCGUGGUCACAAGCAUUGCUGCGAGACUGUGAUUGGCGGGAGUUGCUUUGGAUGAGCAAUAGCUUGAUGGUGGCUUGCUAACUGGUAAGCAGUAUUCUCACUUGUCGUCAUCCACACUUAACUAUAUAAUCAAUCUUAUCCAUUGGUAAUUACUCCUAGUACCCUUUGUAGUAUAACAAGCUUAAACUAAAAACGGUAGUAUUACAAUACUACAAUACACGCGAAUUUUGUAGGUGCAAGUAGGACUGUUUUUUAGUUGGGAUGUUACACUGCAAGAAGGCUUCUGUUUGCCUUUCCAUUUCCUUCAGUGGGUCCUCCAAUCCACUCCCAACCACUGAUAAAAUUUCCAUGAGGGCCCUGGUCCUAAAAGGGCUUCUCUCUAUCCAUGCAAAUGUGCAAUAUGUGCAUCAUCCGUCUAUCUAUCUGCCUCCUGCUCAGCUCGAUCGGCUGCUCUCCAAGC
rnacentral:lncRNA from 1 species